GCGGCGAGGCCAUGUGCCACCAUCGACGCGCUAUGGCUGGAGCUUGCUCUGUUUGGGGUGCCGUGUUCGGUCUGGGCCACGCCAACUCUGUGCAGCUUGCCGCGACCAGCGCAAACGAAGCGGGAUUGGUUCACGACGGCCAUCGGGGAGUGGCAUCCUGGGUGCCGUUCUGUCUGGUCUGGGCCACGCCAUCUCCGCGCAGCUCGCUGAAACCGGCAGAGACAGAGCGAGGGGGGUUCAGACGGACUGGGGGAUGCAUCAGGUGCUCGCAGCGGCCAACGAGGACAUCGCGCCCACUCCCUGUGAGGCAUGCCCUGGCGCCGAUGAUGCCGUAUUGCCGGUGGUUUGCCAACCGUAUGUUUGCACUGUCUGACCUCAUCGAAAUGCUGUUGCGGCUAUCUGUCGAUGCUACCAAGCAGCGGCAACAUGGAUGACCACAUACAAUUAAGGUAAGGAAUGCCAUGACCAACUAUGAACUUUCAAUUAUUUCCCCUGUCUAACAUUUUCCAUGGGACGUUGCAUAUUUUAAUCUUGCUAGCGCAGAGGUUAUAUCUCUCUGCAAUUGGUUACUGGUUAGUUGGUUCCCAUUUUCAGAUAUUCUAAUGUGCUCCAUGUGCUAGAACUGAGUUUUCAGCCAUCUUUUCUCCUCUUCCACCUUGUGUCGGGGGAUAUAAGUCUGACGGUAAGGAUAAAGAAAUACAGCAGCCUUCUUUGUGUUGUUUGACUGAACUACAUCUCUGCAUGUGAGACAUGCUCAAGUAGUAAUAUAAAAUUUUGUUUAACUAAUUAGUCUGUACUGAAUUUACUCAAAAGUUUCCAUCAUAUAUUAAUUGUGCAAGAAUUUGAAAUCCUAAAUGCAUUCAGUAUCCACCUUUUGUUGUGAAGCCAUCACAUCAUGCCGCUCUUGUGCAGUUAGAAAGUUCUUUGGGAGACCUUAGAUAUUAAGCGGUUAACUUUUGCUCAUUUGUUCAUUUUGUUUUUCUGAUUUUCUUGCAAGUCUUUGGUACAGUUUACAAGGGCAAAAAUUGGUCCAAUGAUUUCUUUUAGAUGACAUAGCUAUAUAGGAAGCUUCCCCGCGUAGUACAUUGUAACGUUUUCUUUACUUGCCUUAAAUAGCGCAUUGAAAUAUCAUAUCACAUCAUUCCAAUUUAAUGUAUGGUGCAUAUAAUAUUUACAUUCACCAUGUAGAGAGCCAAUACAAAUAAGAGGUAUGUGUGCUUUUGCUUUGUUAGCAUGGCAUGGAAAAAAUCGGUAACCACAGAGAUGAUCACCCACUUCCAGAAUUCGACAUCGAGGAGUAGUUUUCGCAAAUGACUUAGCUCAUCUAAGAGGCCAACAAUGAGGAAUGAUGAUAUAAGUCAAUUGAGAAUCAGAUUUGAUUAUGUAGGCUGUUAAAAGUUCACUGGUUGGUUCAUUUUGUCUUGCUCUGCCCUACAAGCAUUUCUGCUCAGAAGUUACAUUUUUUUUUAUCAUGGUAGUAAUGUAUACAUUUGAUUGCAAAGAAGAUUUACGAAUUCAUGAGUUGUUCCCCUGAAUGGCAGUAGUCGACACUGAUCAUUCUAUCUAAAAUCGAACAACGCUGGGAUUAUUGGCAUAAAAAAUUGUUAGGGAGUACACAAGGAAAGAUAUCAGUAAGAAAUCUAUUUCCAAUGUUACUAUAUCGCACAAAACCUAACAUCAUAGUCCUGUUUGUGAACUCUUUUGCAGCAAUUCAGGUUUGGCCUAUCCUCACCCCAACCCCCUGGUCGUGCAGCAUUGGUUGAGUCAUAGAAAGCCUAGGUAGCCAAUAUAGGCAACCAUGGCAUGAAAGCCCAACGGCAACCACCAUUUGAUCAUAAGAUCCUUCCAUCGGUACCAAGUGAGGUUAAAUUAGAUUGAGAGAUGCACAGCCUGGUGCACGCAUGCAAGAUCAAAUUCAGACUGAGGAAUGUCAAGUUCCACGGAGGGCUAUCAAAACCGGCCAUUCCUGUUUCAUUUCUCCUUGCCUUGAAUCAUGUAAUAUUUAAAUAUUAUAUCUCACACACUUCUCUUCAGGGGAACAUAUAUCACUCAGUGUUUUAAACUCUUUGCUUAUCAGCACAGAUGUGCACAAAUAAAAAAUCUCAGUAAUAAAAAGGUGAGCUAUCUUAGAUGCUCAUCCUCUGGUCUCUA